CAGAUGCUCUUGAUGGCUUUGCCAAAGUGGUGCAGGCCGAAAGCCUCUGGCUUCAGGACAAUAAAAGGAGGCAUUUCACUGUGACUUUUGCAGUCCCCUCCCCCACCAGAAGAUUAGAAUAAAUGAAGCUCCCGGAAAAAGGGCGGCACAGCUGGGAAAUUAAGGAUAAUUGGGUCUGAGUAGUAAAUAAUAAUUCCCCUCGCGCUCUCCCUGGCCAACUGACCUUCUCUACGAAAGCCCUUGACGUGAGCGCUUCUCAUCUGCGUGUAUGUGAAAUGUAACAUACAUUCAGAAAAGAAUAAAUAAACGCAGAAAAGUCUAGAACAUGCAGAACCUCAGAGGAGUGGCCGAUUUUGCAACCUCCAUCUGAUGUCCCAGGACAGGCUUUUGACUUGACAGCAUCUGAGAUCUGGACAGAGAACGGGUCUUUGUUCCUAAAGAUCUUCAAGAUGCAGAGACAUCCAGAUAUGAGCUCGGGGGUCCUCAGCCCAAGCGGUUUGGAGGCAACAUUUGGGGAAGUGCUGAAAUGCGAAUGUAAGGACUUCCUGAUUCAAGACGUUUGGGGGAGGCUCUGGGACUUACAUCCUUGACAGGGGCUGCAGGAGACUUGAAAGCAGGUGGUUGUCAGAGACACCUGCACUUGAGAGACGUGCCCUGAGUCCACAGAUGCUCAGUGCAAGAAGGUGCCACGUCGGUCUCUCAGACGUGUGGUCUCAGGCCAGCAGCAGCACCUGGAAGUCUGAGGAAAACAGCAACCAAAGGAAGAACGAAAGUCCAUGUGAACCCCUAAUAAAACAGGCCGUGCUGACUUAGAAGCCCCAAGGAAAAGCUUCAGUUCCCAGGGGCUGUAUGCAGAUAACUGUGUUUUAAAAGCCUGGUUUCACCUUCCUCUCUUGGGCCCUCAGGAUGCUGGCUGUGUGUGCUCUGUGCCAAUAAGCGGAAAAACAAAAGAGUCAGGAAACAAUAUUCAGUCCGGUGCUACACAGGUUUGCACGUUGAUGAGCUCAAAUCACACACCUGCCGGCCCAGCUCCUGAA